rnacentral:rRNA from 1 species
UCCAGACUCCUACGGGAGGCAGCAGUGGGGAAUAUUGGACAAUGGGGGGAACCCUGAUCCAGCGACGCCGCGUGAGUGAAGAAGUAUUUCGGUAUGUAAAGCUCUAUCAGCAGGGAAGAAAGAAAUGACGGUACCUGACUAAGAAGCCCCGGCUAACUACGUGCCAGCAGCCGCGGUAAUACGUAGGGGGCAAGCGUUAUCCGGAUUUACUGGGUGUAAAGGGAGCGUAGACGGCGAUGCAAGUCUGAAGUGAAAGCCCGGGGCUCAACCCCGGGACUGCUUUGGAAACUGUAUGGCUGGAGUGCUGGAGAGGCAAGCGGAAUUCCUAGUGUAGCGGUGAAAUGCGUAGAUAUUAGGAAGAACACCAGUGGCGAAGGCGGCUUGCUGGACAGUAACUGACGUUGAGGCUCGAAAGCGUGGGGAGCAAACAGGAUUAGAUACCCCGGUAC